AUUUAGCCGUCCGAUUCCAAUUCCGACUUGGGUGUACGUUGGAGGAGAUUUGGGUGAAGUUAUAAAAAUCCAGAAAGUAUCGGUAGGAGGUACGCAUGGCACCUCCGGGACAGGGGACGUCUCGGGAGAUAGAAAGACGGGCUGAAUGAGUGAACUGCAUCUGAUGUAUUAUAUGUAAAUUCUAACUAGAAAAACCUCCCGUUUUGGGAGUAUGUUUUUGUAAAUAUUUAUAAACUUGUUUUUUUGGGAAUAAUAAAAUGCUUAUAUAAUUAAUUUUAGCCUUAACACUGUGUUGUGGGGCCCGAAGUAGGAGGUGACGACCUCAUGAUGCAGUGUGGCGGUAGCAUUUCCAGUA